UUUGGUUAAGUUAGAAAGGGCGCACGGUGGAUGCCUUGACACUAGGAGUCGAUGAAGGACGGGACUAACGCCGAUAUGCUUCGGGGAGCUGUAAGUAAGCUUUGAUCCGAAGAUUUCCGAAUGGGGAAACCCACCAUACGUAAUGGUAUGGUAUCCUUAUCUGAAUACAUAGGGUAAGGAAGACAGACCCAGGGAACUGAAACAUCUAAGUACCUGGAGGAAGAGAAAGCAAAUGCGAUUUCCUGAGUAGCGGCGAGCGAAACGGAACAUAGCCCAAACCAAGAGGCUUGCCUCUUGGGGUUGUAGGACAUUCUAUACGGAGUUACAAAGGAACGAGGUAGACGAAGCGACCUGGAAAGGUCCGUCGUAGAGGGUAACAACCCCGUAGUCGAAACUUCGUUCUCUCUUGAAUGUAUCCUGAGUACGGCGGAACACGUGAAAUUCCGUCGGAAUCUGGGAGGACCAUCUCCCAAGGCUAAAUACUCCCUAGUGAUCGAUAGUGAACCAGUACCGUGAGGGAAAGGUGAAAAGCACCCCGGAAGGGGAGUGAAAGAGAUCCUGAAACCGUGUGCCUACAAAUAGUCAGAGCCCGUUAACGGGUGAUGGCGUGCCUUUUGUAGAAUGAACCGGCGAGUUACGAUCCCGUGCGAGGUUAAGCUGAAGAGGCGGAGCCGCAGCGAAAGCGAGUCUGAAU
rnacentral:rRNA from 1 species